rnacentral:lncRNA from 1 species
UUACAUUCCCUCCAAUUAGAAAAACUAAAAUUAAAAAAAAUAAUAGGAAAAACCAAACCGUGUAAUUGGAUGAUACAGAAGAACGACGCCUGUAGUUAGAACGAUACAGAAGAACGACGGAAGGCCGGCGCAUUAACAGCAUCGCUGCAAAAGCCUCCGCCGUGCCACGGUCUCCGGCCAUCCCAUGUCUUUCUCGAUCGAGUUAUGUAUAAUUUUGGAUUGAUGCUGCUUGAUAAUUAUCAAUAUUCUCUGUCAAUUUUCUCCCUCUCAUUCGUCUUCAAUUUCUGUUUAGUGUAGGUUUUAAGAAUUAUUGCAGAAAGCCUUCAUCUCCUUCAAUUUCUGCUCUUAAUCGGCAAAAGUCUCUGCGUACCAGGUUCCAAUUUUGAUUUUUAACUAUGGCCUUUUGGGAUUAGUGAAAGCAUAGCUUUUUCUGUGUUUACUGAGUUGUUUGCGAUAUCUGGUUAUUGUUAGAUUGAUAGUCGAUUGAUUGAAUUGAUUCCUCCUCUGUUACUCUCUUGUUUUUGAAUUGGUUCCUUAAUUUUCAAGGCUACCAUUAUUUUUGUGAUUUUUUAAAAAAUUUCUAAAUGUCAGUUGAUGCAUAUUAAUGUUUUAGAUAUGUAGUGAAUUUAUUCGUGAUAUGGUUGCAUCAUAUAGAUACUUCAAUCUCCUUUUUAUGUAAAUCCAAGAUAUUUUGAGCAAUUACGUCCCUUUAUAUCAGAAAAGCUAACUGAAAGCUUUUCUGCCUUCGUUAGACCUGUCAAAGAUUUUAGUUUGUCAGUUUCUUCUUCUCCCUUGUAAUUGGUGGCGUUCACAAUACAUACUGUUGAUACAAAAUCAGAAGGAACACCACCAUUUCAACUAAAGCUAAUUUUCCUUUGAUCAUAUUGUAGUGCUUGGCCCUUAAGGAAACACAGAAAGAAGAAGAAUAAAAAGGAACAACUAUAGAAAAGUUAAAAUUAAAGGCUGAUAGGCAGUGAGAUAAUGGAAAGUCGAGUGCUAUUACUACAACAACUGUGCAUCCCCUUGAUGAUAUACAUGCGCAUGUCAUUUCGUUGUCCGAGAUUGAUUUUUAUAGACUUGACAAUCUGACAUUAGCGAUAACUAUAUAUUAAUUACAAUUACUUAAGUUGGGACUAAUUAUUAAAUUUUGUUAUCCGAAGAUCUUCCUAUUUUCCUCUUGCUGUUCUGUUCCGACAGUUGCAUCAAAAUCUGUCAUAACACUAUUUGGCCAAGUUAAAUCAGUGAAUUAACGUCAGUGGUGUGGGUUCCUCAUGUACUACUACAUCUUGGAGUUUGUUUAUAACAGAAAUAGGAGAAGAAAAAGGAAUAGUUUCUCUUUCAGGACAUAUUGUUCUAGCCACUUCCUCAGACCCUUGCACGUUCAUUAGCUCUAUCGAUUCUGUGUUCAUAUUCUCUAUUUAUUUUGAGAUAAAUGUUCUUUGCUGCCCUUGACAGAUUGUAAUUGCCCCUUUAGAAUCGAUAAUAUAACAAUUUAUGAACUAAAGUGGAACAAUACAUUCAUUCUCACUAUUGGUAUAGUUCUUCACCACAGAAUAAAUGAAAAUUUUACACGUAUAGUCCUCUCUCAGAAAAGCUCAAAGUUGCAUUAACUCUUUCAAAUGUAAACAAAAUCAUACUGUAUGUAACAUUUGAAAAAUAAGAAUUAUGGUUUAGAUGUGAGAUACAAUAGGGAGGAAUGUGUAAGACCAUUUUGAACUAAUUAGAUAUGAUAAAAACUGUCGGCAUAUUUAGGUUACUGUGUCGUCUUAGCAUAAAUUAAUUUCUUGCAGGUUUAAACUGUAAAAAGUAGUUUUAAGAGAUUAUAUUUUGCUGUAAGUUUACUACCCAUUGCAUAGAGAAGUCUAAUAAAUACUGUUGUAAGUACUUUCUAAAGGUUGUCUCCAAAUAGAAGAAACUGCAAUUCAUGUGCAUUACAUGCUCAUCUAUAUUAUAGUCAUAAAAGUAGUUAGCUUUGACAGGAUUUGUAAAUACUCUUUUCUGGAGAAAAUGACUACCUCAAAAAUGGUUGUAGAUUCUGGCAAGUAGUUGCAAUAUCUCUCAAUAAUAACUAAAGGGCCAAAUGAUAGUAAACUGCAAUAUAUGUGCAUUAUUUCUAUGCAUGUGUGAUAACGUGUUGAAAAAAGUUUGUUUCUACAUCUAUCCCGAUAUUAAGCUUCGUCUAUUUGUCAAACAGAAAAACAAUCUGCUAAAAUCACCUUUGCAAUAUCCAACAGUCAAGAAAAUUAAUUUUGCGUGUGAAAGAAAUUGAAUUUAUGAGAUAUAACUGAGGGGAGAUAUAUUAGUUUUAGUUAUCUAGAGCAUCAGUUGCACUUAAUAUUAUGAGCCAACUUAUUUAUGAAAUUUAACUGUUAUGUUUAUUCUUAAAAUAAUAUUUUCUAAAUCCCCUUCACGAACACAAAUUUAUGUGCAGUGUUUCAGUUGUAAGAUGUCCUCUUUGUUGAGCUUUUGAAGACUUCCUGUCAAAAAACAUGUACAUAAUCCAAUCAGGGAACUAAAAGGUAUAGUGAAUAAUAAGCAUGUUCAUAUUAUGUGCCUGUCUUGGUGGACACAUUAGCAUGCCUUAUUGUCAACUUGAGUUUGACAUGGCACCCCAUUUGAGUGUGCUCUUUGGACAAAUUAUUUUUUGAUUUGGUAAAUGACGGAGACUGCAGUAGUUCCAUAUUUUCCUCUGUGCUUGGUCUUUAUUCCAUUGGUCAACUGUAUAUUUAUUUUAUUUUUGUUGUGAGAAAGCACAGGAGAAAAAUAUAACUGAUAUGUAAACAUGAUACAAUGAGCCCUAUAUAUAAUACACAUAACC